GCUGGAGCCAUUUCAAGGACGCAGCCUUGAGAGAGCAGUGUGUUGUAGAGACCAUCUGGACUGUACACAUGAUGGAACCCAGUUAAGGCCUCUAUAUAUAAACUGUUACGAUUCUGGUGGGUGGAUGUGGAGAUCUACUCGUCCUGCGCCACUCGAGACAAGCCUGUGCUUAAAAUCAGAAGAGAGAGACAGACAAGGAGAGUGAAGAGGGAGAUGCGACUACUGAGUAGUGGUCCAAAAGAGGCAACGUUGCUGGCUUUGAAGAUGGAGGAAGGGGGCUGUGAGUCAAGGAAUGUGAGCAGCCUCUAGAAGCUGGAAAAGGCAGAGACUCUCCCUGGAGUGUCUCAGAUGCAUGCGAUGUGCAUGACUGCUGGAUUUGGAUCAGUGAGCUGAAAGAUGCAGAACAUCACACUUGGCUGGAUGAGUCCCUGUGGAUUGUGGACGAGGAGAAACCGUGAGCGCUGUUCAUUCUAGAAGCUCCCCAGGAAGCUGGAGGCUUGUGUGAUCACUGGCAUAAUGGAUGGUGCCCACAGCUCCGGCCCAGGUGUGCGGAGGCUGGUACCCAUCCGUGUGGGCGGAAGACGCUGCUUCCUGGCGCACAACAUGAGGCUGCCGCUCCCCGACUUGGGCCUCUUCAGAACUCAGAGCAGCUGCUACCCUCUAGGUGACCGGCAAGUCCUGCCAUCGUUCACCUGCUCAGGCCAGCUGACAAAUGGAGUCGGAGCAUUGCAGACUGAAUAAACUGUUCUGUAGCCAUUUUUGGCUUCAGGCUAAGGGAGGAGACAUACAAGCUCUGUGACCUGAUGGUAUUCAUAGAGGCCUGAGAGAAACACUGUUUAGAAUUCAUAUCCACGCUCUUUUCAGCUCCUUUCAGCAAGCUUGAAUGGCUCCUAGACAUUUUCUGAUACAUGAUAUCCAUUUCCCAGUAUGGAUGUAACAAUUAACUAGAGCAUCCAAAGCCUUUGCUGAAAAUUAUCUAGUUUCUGUCAUUUUAGUUGUUAAAAAAAAUGUAUACGUGUUUGUAAUCUAUAGGAAUACUUAAGUAUAACAUCAGCAGUAAUAAGUGGUAGUUAAAAAGUGAUGCAUUAAUUAGUUCAGUUUGACCAUUCCGUAGCUUUUUAGAAUGAAUUGUUAAUAAAAUAGGGACACUAUUAAAACUUUGGACGUUGAGUCCACAUGGAACAUUUUGAAACUACUGUGUUCUCUUCUGACUG
rnacentral:lncRNA from 1 species